UCUGUUUUUUUUUCCCUAUUCAUUUUAGCGCCUCUUCGUUUUCCCUCUGUCUCCCACACUCUCUCUCUUUCUCUCAGACACUGAAAAUCUCCUCACUGUCUCAUCUCUACCACUGCCCACAAACCCACAGCCACAGCCACCACCACCACCACCUCCCAACCCCCAACCACAACCACCACCACCACCCAAAAAUCGAGCCUAGUUAGGUCCAAAAAGAAAUGGGUUAGGUCUAGCCCGACCCAUUUCUCUUAUCCUUUCUAACCCUAACGGUUCAUGCCCCUAAUCUAGAACCUUCCCUCUUGACAGAAACCAAUGGCUUGAGCAACCUGAUCUCAUCGCCUCAAACCGGCACCGCCAUCAGUAGAGGCGGGUUGCUCCUCAUCAAAAACCCUUACCGAGAUCUCUCUAAUCUAGGUUCGAUCUCUCUCUAAUCUAGGUUCGAUCUCUCUCUCUCCCUCUAGACCUUGAUUGGCCUUUCCGAUCAACAUUCCUUUGAGCUUUGAAUUCGACCACUCAGUUUUGUCCAACUUGGUUCGCAAAGUUCCAGACUAUCGUUGUUGUUUCUGUUGCCCCGCAUGGAGUUGUACAGCUUGGCUCUUUAAAUAAAAUUGCAAAAAGAAGAGGCACUAUAAGUUUGUGUGAUCAAAACAAGUGAAGUUGGUGAAAAACUUAAGGAUGCUCCUCUGAUCGAACAAUCUCCAGCUCUCCCCAAAUCAUCAGCCGCAUCUUAUCAACCAAGAAGCUUAUAAGUUUUAUCUUGGAGUUCUUGGGCUUUUUUGUGUACAGAGAACUAUGGAAGAACAACCGCAUUUCUUGCAAGUGUUGAAAGACAUUUUUAAACACUUUAGAAUUUUGAUUAUAGUAUUAGAUUAAUUUCAGCAGUUGUUUUAUUCAAAUGACCACAUAUUUUUUUUGUUAAUUUAAAGAUGGUGGUUAUAGACAAUGUUAUGUAUUUGAUAAUAUAUUUUUAUGUCAAUAUUAUGUUA